GUUAACUACCCCGCCCUCAAGGGCGGAGCUUGCAGAAGCUCGGUUGACCAGACUCAGUGCCGUUACGGGUACUACGCUGACCAGAGGUCGUUAAGACUUACCAGUGGAUGCUUCCUGAGUCCACUGCUCUAAU
rnacentral:sRNA from 12 species